rnacentral:lncRNA from 10 species
GGUCCAGCCAUUGUCUAUUUGUAUAUUCAGUCUCUCGUAACAGACACCAAUGAGACAAUUAUAACAUAAAACAAUCUUUUCUUUCUCUCCAGGUCACACCUUGGCUGUAAAGUGUCCUAACAGCCACCUACUUAUGAUUACUGCUUUCUUACCAAUAACCUCCCCAGCCUGUUGUGUGGCUCCUACAUCUUGAACAAAAGCGACCAAGGCAUACAUCUGUAGGAGACCAGAAUAUGCCACCCCAAAAUAUGCCUCCUUGGCCUAAGGAUUAUUCUGAGCUAGUAAUUUUGAGAAACAGAAGCUAUGAAAACAGCAUAAGCUACCCCUUUGAAAGAGAAAUUCACCCCGGCCACCACCCCGUCUGGGAAGUGAGGAGCGUCUCUGCCCAGCCGCCCCGUCUGAGAAGUGAGGAGCCCCUCCGCCCGGCAGCCGCCCCGUCUGGGAAGUGAGGAGCCCCUCUGCCCGGCCGCCAGGCCGUCUGGGAGGUGUGCCCAACAGCUCAUUGAGAACGGGCCAUGAUGACGAUGGCGGUUUUGUCGAGUAGAAAGUGGGGAAAUGUGGGGAAAGGAAGGAGAGAUCAGAUUGUUGCUGUGUCUGUGUGGAGAGAAGUAGACACAGGAGACUCCAUUUUGUUAUGUACUAAGAAAAAUUCUUCUGCCUUGGGAUGCUGUUAAUCUAUAACCUUACCCUCAGCCCCAUGCUCUCUGAAACAUGUGCUGUGUCCACUCAGGGUUAAAUGGAUUAAGGGCGGUGCAAGAUGUGCUUUGUUAAACAGAUGCUUGAAGGCAGCAUGCUCGUUAAGAGUCAUCACCACUCCCUAAUCUCAAGUACCCAGGGACACAAACACCGGAAGGCCGCAGGGUCCUCUGCCUAGGAAAACCAGAGACCCUUGUUCACAUGUUUAUCUGCUGACCUUCCCUCCACUAUUGUCCUAUGACCCUGCCAAAUCCCCCUCUCUGAGAAACACCCAAGAAUGAUCAAUAAAUACUAAAAAAAAAAAAAGAGAAACUCACAGUCUUAAAAGAAAUCGCUCUUUGUAAGGGUGUCUCCCUCUCUGUACCAGGAAGAGAAAGUUGACUCUAAAUCACCAGAGACCCUUAUCAAUGGAGAAGGCAGCAACUUGUUUUGUGUGCUUCUCCGGGUCUUUUUCCCAAAACUGGCCUUCCUCACUCCCUUCUUUGUUUUUAGCUGAAGAUGGUACUUAAACCUGAAUUCUAAGCCACUCCUUUGAGAAUUACUCAUUUUCUUGGGCAUCUCACAUGUAUAUGCAAAGUAUACAUGUUAAUAUAGCUCCAUUUGUUUUUCUCCUGUUAAUCUUUUGAGCUGGGCAUGGUGGCUCCCGCCUAUAAUCCCAACAUCUUGGGAGGCCAAGGCAAGAGGAUUGCUUGAACCCAGGAGCUGGAGAUCAGCCUGGGCAACAUGACAGGAGCCCAUCUCUACGAAAUAAAAAAUUAA